AUCUCUCUCACUCAUUCUCUUUCUCUUUCUCUCUUUGAAUGGGUAACUUCUAAAAAUUGUUUGUUUUUAUUGGCGUCUCCAGCUACAAUUUAACUGCAGUUUUUUUCAGAAAGUGUUAUGUUCUGUUUCAUCUCAAAUUUCCUGGUUAAAGUCUAAAAUAAAAAUUGCAGAUUAGAAAAUCCUUUGAGAAUGGGGUUCAGCAAGUGAAACUGUUUGAAGGCACAAUACUGUUUGUGAUGGGGCCGUGAUGGAUCUGCUGGGCACAUGGAAUGCUGGAAAUAAAUUUUGCCUGUGUUUUAAGAUGGAAAUAAAUCUCUUGGGUUCAUUUUGCUUUGUUCUGAUUUCUUAACUCGUGUAUUUCUGCAAGCAAUCUAGACAUGACAGAAACAAAUUGAUGGAGACAGAAAUGGGAGAAUCCCACCCUGUCAGAAGAUGAAUGAGUUGAGCUUGCAUGAUGUGAACCAUGGCUGACAGAAGCGAGGUGGAAUCAAAGAGUGAGCAACUUUUGACAACACACGCUUCACAGCUCUGACCACUGAGGAUCUACAUGAUUAUCUCCAGACAAAAUAACUAAUUGUAGAAGACUGUAGGCUAUUGCCCCCCAGGAAAGCCUUAUAGCUGCUUCACAAUACAGAAUAUGGUUGUCCGCCUGAAAGGUAUUAUUAUUAGAAAAAAAUGUCCAAUUGCAUUAAUACAUAUUUUUAAACUGAUUGUCAUUAAAGAACUUAGAGUAAAUCUCCAAGAACAGCAUAUAGUUCUGGAAAGCAAGUUUCAGUGUUGAUAAACAUGAUGUGAAUCAUGACUGUUAUCUAGAUUCUUGGUAUAAACCUUGUUUCCUAGGGACUGAAAAUGUAUCCCUCUUUUGG